rnacentral:rRNA from 1 species
GACGAACGCUGGCGGCGUGCUUAACACAUGCAAGUCGAACGGUAAGGCCCUUCGGGGUACACGAGUGGCGAACGGGUGUGUAAAACGUGGGUGAUCUGCCCUGCACUUCGGGAUAAGCCUGGGAAACUGGGUCUAAUACCGGAUAGGACCACUGCCUGCAUGGGGGGUGGUGGAAAGCUUUUGCGGUGUGGGAUGGGCCCGCGGCCUAUCAGCUUGUUGGUGGGGUGAUGGCCUACCAAGGCGACGACGGGUAGCCGGCCUGAGAGGGUGACCGGCCACACUGGGACUGAGAUACGGCCCAGACUCCUACGGGAGGCAGCAGUGGGGAAUAUUGCACAAUGGGCGCAAGCCUGAUGCAGCGACGCCGCGUGAGGGAUGACGGCCUUCGGGUUGUAAACCUCUUUCAGCACCGACGAAGCGCAAGUGACGGUAGGUGCAGAAGAAGGACCGGCCAACUACGUGCCAGCAGCCGCGGUAA